ensembl:lncRNA
CACGACUGAGCGACUGAACUGAACUGACUGCCCGCAGCUUUGGGUCCCCGUCCACAGGAAGCACUCACUCUGGUCCAGCCUCCCAUUCCACCUCCACGAGGACCCCGAGAAACAACAACACAGAAGGGGCGGAGGGAUAUUGAACCGCAUCAAGGGAUUCCGUCGAAACGGGCCUGAGCCUCCACUCCUGUUCCUCCGGCUGAGGCCCUCUCCCGUGCCAAAGUGUCUGAUUAAAUCCCGAUUUUAUAGCAGCUGCGCUUCUUAGCUGGUGUUCCUGGUAAAAGAAUCCGCCUGCCAACGCAGGAGAUGCAAGAGAUGCAAGUUCAAUCCCUGGGCUGGGAAGAGGCCCUGGAGGAGGAUGUGGCAACCCACUGCAGCAGCCUUGCCUGGAGAAUCCCCGUGGACGAAGGGACUUGAAAAUCCCAAGGAAGAGUUUCCGGUCAGGUCCGCCACAGGAGGGGAACGGAAGGGAGCCGGUGUGCAGAUCGAGCUCUCAGUGGUCUGGCUGAACAGGCCAGAGAGGCUCCCAGAAGGUCUGUCCCAAGACACGUGGCCUGUGAUACCGGGACACACGGAGGAGCAGCCCUGCCCCCGCCGCCCACAAGCAGUCUCCCUUC